AACAGGAUUAGAUACCCUGGUAGUCCACGCCGUAAACGAUGUCGACUUGGAGGUUGUUCCCUUGAGGAGUGGCUUCCGGAGCUAACGCGUUAAGUCGACCGCCUGGGGAGUACGGCCGCAAGGUUAAAACUCAAAUGAAUUGACGGGGGCCCGCACAAGCGGUGGAGCAUGUGGUUUAAUUCGAUGCAACGCGAAGAACCUUACCUACUCUUGACAUCCAGCGAACUUGGCAGAGAUGCCUUGGUGCCUUCGGGAACGCUGAGACAGGUGCUGCAUGGCUGUCGUCAGCUCGUGUUGUGAAAUGUUGGGUUAAGUCCCGCAACGAGCGCAACCCUUAUCCUUUGUUGCCAGCGAUUCGGUCGGGAACUCAAAGGAGACUGCCGGUGAUAAACCGGAGGAAGGUGGGGAUGACGUCAAGUCAUCAUGGCCCUUACGAGUAGGGCUACACACGUGCUACAAUGGCGCAUACAAAGAGAAGCGACCUCGCGAGAGCAAGCGGACCUCACAAAGUGCGUCGUAGUCCGGAUCGGAGUCUGCAACUCGACUCCGUGAAGUCGGAAUCGCUAGUAAUCGUGGAUCAGAAUGCCACGGUGAAUACGUUCCCGGGCCUUGUACACACCGCCCGUCACACCAUGGGAGUGGGUUGCAAAAGAAGUAGGUAGCUUAACCUUCGGGAGGGCGCUUACCACUUUGUGAUUCAUGACUGGGGUGAAGUCGUAACAAGGUAAC
rnacentral:rRNA from 1 species